rnacentral:rRNA from 1 species
AACGAACGCUGGCGGCAGGCCUAACACAUGCAAGUCGAACGCCCUAGCAAUAGGGAGUGGCAGACGGGUGAGUAACGCGUGGGAACGUGCCCUUCGGUUCGGAAUAACUCAGGGAAACUUGAGCUAAUACCGGAUACGUGCGAGAGCAGAAAGAUUUAUCGCCGAAGGAUCGGCCCGCGUUCGAUUAGCUAGUUGGUGAGGUAAUGGCUCACAAAGGCGACGAUCGAUAGCUGGUCUGAGAGGAUGAUCAGCCACACUGGGACUGAGACACGGCCCAGACUCCUACGGGAGGCAGCAGUGGGGAAUAUUGGACAAUGGGCGCAAGCCUGAUCCAGCCAUGCCGCGUGAGUGAUGAAGGCCCUAGGGUUGUAAGGCUCUUUCGCCAGGGACGAUAAUGACGGUACCUGGAUAAGAAGCCCCGGCUAACUUCGUGCCAGCCGCCGCAGUAA